rnacentral:rRNA from 1 species
UACGUAGGGUCCGAGCGUUGUCCGGAAUUAUUGGGCGUAAAGGGCUCGUAGGCGGUUUGUUGCGUCGGGAGUGAAAACUUACAGCUUAACUGUGAGCGUGCUUCCGAUACGGGCAGACUUGAGGUAUUCAGGGGAGAACGGAAUUCCUGGUGUAGCGGUGAAAUGACGCAGAUAUCAGGAGGAACACCGGUGGCGAAGGCGGUUCUCUGGGCCGAUACUGACGCUGAGGAGCGAAAGCGUGGGGAGCGAACAGG